GAAAUGCGAUACGUAGUGUGAAUUGCAGAAUUCCGUGAACCAUNGAAUCUUUGAACGCAAAUUGCGCCUGAGGNUUCGGCCGAGGGCAUGUCUGCCUCAGCGUCGGCUUACCCCCUCGCCCUCCCCCACCCUGUGCGGUGGGGUGCAGGUGCGGACCUGGCCCUCCCGGCUCCGCCUGNUGCGUUUUCACAGCUGGCGCCCGGGUUGGCUGAAGCCCAGAGGCUUGAGCAUGGACCCCGUUUGUAGGGCAAUGGCUUGGUAGGUAGGCACCCCCUACGCAGCCUGCCGUUGCCCGAGGGGACUUUGCUGGAGGCCCCGCAGGAAUCCGGCCCGCCUUUGCGGGCGNGCCGGAGCUUACUCNCUCGACC
rnacentral:rRNA from 1 species